rnacentral:rRNA from 1 species
AAAGGAAUUGACGGGGGCCCGCACAAGCGGAGGACAUGUGGUUUAAUUCGAUGAUACGCGAGGAACCUUACCUGGGCUUAAAGUGGGAGUGACAGCUGUCGAAAGAUGGUUUUCUUCGGACACUCUUCAAGGUGCUGCAUGGUUGUCGUCAGCUCGUGCCGUGAGGUGUCGGGUUAAGUCCCAUAACGAGCGCAACCCUUACCGUUAGUUACCAUCAGGUUAAGCUGGGGACUCUAGCGGGACUGCCACCGUAAGGUGAGAGGAAGGUGGGGAUGACGUCAAAUCAGCACGGCCCUUAUGUCCAGGGCUACACACGUGUUACAAUGGCCGGUACAAAGGGCAGCUACUUCGCGAGAAGAUGCUAAUCUCGAAAGCCGGUCUCAGUUCGGAUCGAAGUCUGCAACCCGACUUCGUGAAGCUGGAUUCGCUAGUAAUCGCGGAUCAGCCAAGCCGCGGUGAAUACGUUCCCGGGCCUU